CUCUUCUAAAUACUAAAGACUAGAGAGUAGCUUAUUAAUUCCUUCCCAUAUUCCACACUUUAAUAAUACUUUCGUAGCAAGUAGUGGAGUGUAGCCGCCGGUGGCUAUGAAGGUAUUAUAAAUAAGACAUAUUGUAAUAAUGCAACAUAAGCUUUCAAUACUUCAUUAUUCAAUGGGAAAGGUUUGCACUAACAAAAUGACACUUGUGCGUUUCUGUGUUCCCUUGUUGCUUCUUCUCACUUUCUGUUACGCUACUUCUGCUCUACCACCGACAACUCAAGCUUUAGGGAGUGACGUGAGUGGUGGUGGAAAGGUUGAAAAGGAAGAAAUUGCAAAGACAAACCUGAAAGUUGAAGAAGAUGAGGAAGAAGCCAAAUCUAAAGGAUUUUUCGAAGAGAAGCUAUUUAAUAUACCAAUUCCAAAAGGAUGGACACGAGUUCCAAAAGUGAAGACACCACUUCCACCAUUUCCAAAAGUGAAGACACCACCAUUUCCAAAAGUGAAAGGACCUAGGCGUUAUCCCAAAAGCCCUCCUCCACCUAAGUAUUGAUGGAAGCAACUUAAGUUUUAGUUAUCCACAAAUUUUACUUAUGCCAAAAUUUCCUAUUCCCAGCAAUAAGCGCUUCUUUCCACCAUAAAAGCCACUGUAAUCAUUUCUGAUGCAUUAAUAAGCCAUUUCCAACACCACAGUCAGAUAUAUAGCUAUGCUUGUAUAUCAGCAUGUGUAACUGUGUUUGCAUAAUUCUACCAUACCCCACCCCAUGUGUGUUUAAUGUUAAAAAUCUGAAUAAAAUUAUUAGUUAUUGGCGC
rnacentral:lncRNA from 1 species